rnacentral:lncRNA from 1 species
GCCCCGGUUCCCACGGCGCAGGCGCGCUGCUUUCCCGCCUCUGCCGGGCUGCGGGCCGCGGGGUGGCCAGCGAGAGCUCCCGGAAAGCUUCGCACUGGUGGAGCGUCUGGGCCAAUUAGACAAACGGGGGCAGCGGAAACAGUGCACCACUGUUCUCGGGUGCCAGAAACCAAACAAGGUCACCUCCCCCAGCGCUGACCUAAUCACUCCCAAAGAGGUUCCCGCCCCAAAGUAGGCACGCUCCAAAUAUGGUGGUGCCCAAACUCUGCAAGACCCAAGCACUAGGCAUGCCUAGGCCCUUUAAGGUGGAACAGGCCCAGGUUUGAGUUCCAUGAUCACGAGCUUGCAAAAAUCUGUUAUUUCUUCCUGUUGAGGAAAACAGCCGAAGAAUGCAAUAUUUGCCAAUCACAACUGUGGAGUAAUGGCAGAGGGAAGGUUUUAGGAUCUUAAGGGGGCAGAUGGUUGGGAGUUGCUUGAUGGCCAGGCAGAGCAUCAAGUGUGACAUCUCAGUUACCCGGACAGCCUGCCCUAAAAGGUGGCCGAGGUUUGCUCCAGUUUGACUCUCUGAGGAUACUCUCUCCCUGCCUUACUGAAAGUGUCAUGGUUCUACGAAUUAAAGUUAUAUAAGAAGCACCUAAGAUGCUGGUUAACCCUUCAGAGAAUCAGUCCUGAGAGGGUUCUGGAAAUUUUCAUUUUUAACAAGCCUUCACCACAAGAUCCUGGGGGCAGAGAAACACUGAGUGGGCUAUUAUUUUGGUUUUCGACUGAGCCAACAAGAAACUGCUAACGUGUUUAAGAUUAACCAAGAGUUCUUGAGAAAUCUACUGGUCCCGCCUUAAUUAUUUGGCUUCUCUGAACCUCUGUUUACUCAUCUAAAAAAUUAAAAAUAAAAAAGUUUUCUUUAGUUGUACAGUUGUCAUUACUGUGGCCCUCCAAACCCUCAAGAUGUUAUUGACAUUCAGAAGAAUAUACCAUAACUGCAUUUAUUUGAGAAGAAUGAGAAACAUUCUCUUUCCUAUAGAAUGAUGCCUUCGGCAACAGCAAACAUAGAUUCCAAACAACAAAUAUUUGACUAAACACAUUAAUUGCUUUAUUACUUAAUAGCUAACACUUGAGUGCUUACUGUUUACCAGACAUUGUUCUAACUUGUUUGAUUUCAUUAUAACCCAAUGAGACAAAGAGAAGUAAGGUGAUUUUCUCAAAGUCACACAGUUCUUUGGGUUCUUUAUCCCAGCUACUCAGAAGGCUGAGGCAGGAGAAGGGCAUGAACCGGCGAGGUGGAGCUUGCAGUGAGCCGAGAUCUCACCGCAGCACUCCAGCCUGGGAGACAGAGAGAGACUCCGUCUCAAAAAAAAAAAAAAAAGAAAAAAAA